GUGUCAGCAGCCGCGGUAACACGGGGGGAGCAAGCGUUGUUCGGAAUUACUGGGCGUAAAGGGCGUGUAGGCGGUCGAGUAAGUGAGAUGUGAAAUCCCCCGGCUUACCCGGGGACCGGCAUCUCAAACUGCUCGGCUUGAGUACGGGAGAGGAUGAGGGAAUUCCUGGUGUAGCGGUGAAAUGCGUAGAUAUCAGGAGGAACACCGGUGGCGAAGGCGCUCAUCUGGCCCGAUACUGACGCUGAGGCGCGAAAGCUAGGGGAGCAAACGGGAUUAGAAACCCUCGUAGUCC
rnacentral:rRNA from 1 species